rnacentral:rRNA from 1 species
AAUCGUACCCCAAACCGACACAGGUGGUCAGGUAGAGAAUACCAAGGCGCUUGAGAGAACUCGGGUGAAGGAACUAGGCAAAAUGGUGCCGUAACUUCGGGAGAAGGCACGCUGGCAUGUAGGUGAAGUCCUUCGCGGAUGGAGCUGAAGCCAGUCGAAGAUACCAGCUGGCUGCAACUGUUUAAUAAAAACACAGCACUGUGCAAACACGAAAGUGGACGUAUACGGUGUGACGCCUGCCCGGUGCUGGAAGGUUAAUUGAUGGGGUCAGCCGCAAGGCGAAGCUCUUGAUCGAAGCCCCAGUAAACGGCGGCCGUAACUAUAACGGUCCUAAGGUAGCGAAAUUCCUUGUCGGGUAAGUUCCGACCUGCACGAAUGGCGUAAUGAUGGCCAGGCUGUCUCCACCCGAGACUCAGUGAAAUUGAACUCGCUGUGAAGAUGCAGUGUACCCGCGGCAAGACGGAAAGACCCCGUGAACCUUUACUAUAGCUUGACACUGAACAUUGAGCCUUGAUGUGUAGGAUAGGUGGGAGGCUUUGAAGCGUGGACGCCAGUCUGCGUGGAGCCAUCCUUGAAAUACCACCCUUUAAUGUUUGAUGUUCUAACUCGGCCCCAUAAUCUGGGGUGAGGACAGUGUCUGGUGGGUAGUUUGACUGGGGCGGUCUCCUCCCAAAGAGUAACGGAGGAGCACGAAGGUUAGCUAAUCACGGUCGGACAUCGUGAGGUUAGUGCAAAGGCAUAAGCUAGCUUGACUGCGAGAGUGACGGCUCGAGCAGGUACGAAAGUAGGUCUUAGUGAUCCGGUGGUUCUGAAUGGAAGGGCCAUCGCUCAACGGAUAAAAGGUACUCCGGGGAUAACAGGCUGAUACCGCCCAAGAGUUCAUAUCGACGGCGGUGUUUGGCACCUCGAUGUCGGCUCAUCACAUCCUGGGGCUGAAGUAGGUCCCAAGGGUAUGGCUGUUCGCCAUUUAAAGUGGUACGCGAGCUGGGUUUAGAACGUCGUGAGACAGUUCGGUCCCUAUCUGCCGUGGGCGUUGGAAGAUUGAGAGGGGUUGCUCCUAGUACGAGAGGACCGGAGUGAACGCACCACUGGUGUUCGGGUUGUCAUGCCAAUGGCAUUGCCCGGUAGCUAAGUGCGGAAAAGAUAAGCGCUGAAAGCAUCUAAGCGCGAAACUUGCCUCAAGAUGAGUCUUCCCUGGGCCUUUAAGGUCCCUGAAGGAACGUUUAAGACUAAGACGUUGAUAGGCUGGGUGUGUAAGUGCAGCGAUGCAUUGAGCUAACCAGUACUAAUGAUCCGUGAGGCUUAACCUU